rnacentral:rRNA from 1 species
UUAAGCGACCAAGCGUACACGGUGGAUGCCCUGGCAGUCAGAGGCGAUGAAGGACGUGGCUAAUCUGCGAAAAGCGCCGGUAAGGGUGAUAUGAACCGUUAUAACCGGCGAUGUCCGAAUGGGGAAACCCAGUGUGACUCGUCACACUAUCAUUAACUGAAUCCAUAGGUUAAUGAGGCGAACCGGGGGAACUGAAACAUCUAAGUACCCCGAGGAAAAGAAAUCAACCGAGAUUCCCCCAGUAGCGGCGAGCGAACGGGGAGGAGCCCAGAGCCUGAAUCAGCAUGUGUGUUAGUGGAAGCGUCUGGAAAGGCGCGCGAUACAGGGUGACAGCCCCGUACACAAAAGCGCAUGUGCUGUGAGCUCGAUGAGUAGGGGCGGGACACGUGGUAUCCUGUCUGAAUAUGGGGGGGACCAUCCUCCAAGGCUAAAUACUCCUGACUGACCGAUAGUGAACCAGUACCGUGAGGGAAAGGCGAAAAGAACCCCGGCGAGGGGGAGUGAAACAGAACCUGAAACCGUGUACGUACAAGCAGUGGGAGCAUGGAGUUUACUCAUGUGACUGCGUACCUUUUGUAUAAUGGGUCAGCGACUUAUAUUCUGUAGCAAGGUUAACCGUAUAGGGGGAGCCGCAGGGAAACCGAGUCUUAACCGGGCGUUAAGUUGCAGGGUAUAGACCCGAAACCCGGUGAUCUAGCCAUGGGCAGGUUGAAGGUUGGGUAACACUAACUGGAGGACCGAACCGACUAAUGUUGAAAAAUUAGCGGAUGACCUGUGGCUGGGGGUGAAAGGCCAAUCAAACCGGGAGAUAGCUGGUUCUCCCCGAAAGCUAUUUAGGUAGCGCCUCGUGAAUUCAUCUCCGGGGUAGAGCACUGUUUCGGCCAGGGGGCCAUCCCGGCUUACCAACCCGAUGCAAACUGCGAAUACCGGAGAAUGUUAUCACGGGAGACACACGGCGGGGUGCUAACGUCCGUCGUGAAGAGGGAAACAACCCAGACCGCCAGCUAAGGUCCCAAAGUCAUGGUUAAGUGGGAAACGAUGUGGGAAGGCCCAGACAGCCAGGAUGUUGGCUUAGAAGCAGCCAUCAUUUAAAGAAAGCGUAAUAGCUCACUGGUCGAGUCGGCCUGCGCGGAAGAUGUAACGGGGCUAAACCAUGCACCGAAGCUGCGGCAGCGACACUAAGUGUCGUUGGGUAGGGGAGCGUUCUGUAAGCCUGCGAAGGUGGCCUGUGAGGGUUGCUGGAGGUAUCAGAAGUGCGAAUGCUGACAUAAGUAACGAUAAUGCGGGUGAAAAACCCGCACGCCGGAAGACCAAGGGUUCCUGUCCAACGUUAAUCGGGGCAGGGUGAGUCGACCCCUAAGGCGAGGCCGAAAGGCGUAGUCGAUGGGAAACAGGUUAAUAUUCCUGUACCUGGUGUUACUGCGAAGGGGGGACGGAGAAGGCUAUGUUGGCCGGGCGACGGUUGUCCCGGUUUAAGCGUGUAGGCUGGUUUUCCAGGCAAAUCCGGAAAAUCAAGGCUGAGGCGUGACGACGAGGCACUACGGUGCUGAAGCAACAAAUGCCCUGCUUCCAGGAAAAGCCUCUAAGCCUCAGGUAACAUCAGAUCGUACCCGAAACCGACACAGGUGGUCAGGUAGAGAAUACCAAGGCGCUUGAGAGAAACCCGGGUGAAGGAACUAGGCAAAAUGGUGCCGUAAACUUCGGGAGAAGGCACGCUGACAUGUAAGUGAAGCGGUUUACCCGUGGAGCUGAAGUCAGUCGAAGAUACCAGCUGGCUGCAACUGUUUAUUAAAAACACAGCACUGUGCAAACACGAAAGUGGACGUAUACGGUGUGACGCCUGCCCGGUGCCGGAAGGUUAAUUGAUGGGGUCAGCGCAAGCGAAGCUCCUGAUCGAAGCCCCGGUAAACGGCGGCCGUAACUAUAACGGUCCUAAGGUAGCGAAAUUCCUUGUCGGGGUAAGUUCCGACCUGCACGAAUGGCGUAAUGAUGGCCAGGCUGUCUCCACCCGGGACUCAGUGAAAUUGAACUCGCUGUGAAGAUGCAGUGUACCCGCGGCAAGACGGAAAGACCCCGUGAACCUUUACUAUAGCUUGACACUGAACACUGGUCCUUGAUGUGCAGGAUAGGUGGGGAGGCUUUGAAGUGUGGACGCCAGUCUGCAUGGAGCCGUCCUUGAAAUACCACCCUUUAAUGGCUGGUGUUCUAACGUAGACCCGUGAACCGGGUUGCGGACAGUGUCUGGUGGGUAGUUUGACUGGGGCGGUCUCCUCCUAAAGCGUAACGGAGGAGCACGAAGGUUGGCUAAUCCUGGUCGGACAUCAGGAGGUUAGUGCAAUGGCAUAAGCCAGCUUGACUGCGAGCGUGACGGCGCGAGCAGGUGCGAAAGCAGGUCAUAGUGAUCCGGUGGUUCUGAAUGGAAGGGCCAUCGCUCAACGGAUAAAAGGUACUCCGGGGAUAACAGGCUGAUACCGCCCAAGAGUUCAUAUCGACGGCGGUGUUUGGCACCUCGAUGUCGGCUCAUCACAUCCUGGGGCUGAAGUAGGUCCCAAGGGUAUGGCUGUUCGCCAUUUAAAGUGGUACGCGAGCUGGGUUUAGAACGUCGUGAGACAGUUCGGUCCCUAUCUGCCGUGGGCGCUGGAGAACUGAGGGGGCUGCUCCUAGUACGAGAGGACCGGAGUGGACGCAUCACUGGUGUUCGGGUUGUCAUGCCAAUGGCACUGCCCGGUAGCUAAAUGCGGAAGAGAUAAGUGCUGAAAGCAUCUAAGCACGAAACUUGCCCCGAGAUGAGUUCUCCCUGAGACUUUAGUCUCCUGAAGGAACGUUGAAGACGACGACGUUGAUAGGCCGGGUGUGUAAGCGCAGCGAUGCGUUGAGCUAACCGGUACUAAUGAACCGUGAGGCUUAACCUU